GACGAACGCUGGCGGCGUGCCUAAUACAUGCCAGUUGAGCGCUGAAGGUUGGUACUUGUACCCACUGGAUGAGCAGCGAACGGGUGAGUAACGCGUGGGGAAUCUGCCUUUGAGCGGGGGACAACAUUUGGAAACGAAUGCUAAUACCGCAUAAAAACUUUAAACACAAGUUUUAAGUUUGAAAGAUGCCAUUGCAUCACUCAAAGAUGAUCCCGCGUUGUAUUAGCUAGUUGGUGAGGUAAAGGCUCACCAAGGCGAUGAUACAUAGCCGACCUGAGAGGGUGGUCGGCCACAUUGGGACUGAGACACGGCCCAAACUCCUACGGGAGGCAGCAGGAGGGAAUCUUCGGCAAUGGACGAAAGUCUGACCGAGCAACGCCGCGUGAGGGAAGAAGGGUUUCGGAUCGGAAAACUCGGUUGGUAGAGAAGAACGUUGGUGAGAGUGGAAAGCUCAUCAAGUGACGGUAACUACCCAGAAAGGGACGGCUAACUACGUG
rnacentral:rRNA from 1 species